AAGGUACACCAAGAGGCUGCUGGGAAACCAGAGGAAAGUCCGGGCUGCUGCAAGGCAGGGGUCAGCCUAACAGGCUGCCGCCGUAAGGCGAGGGAAAGUGCCACAGAAACUAAACCGCCGAUGGAGCGUAUGCUCACAGGCAAGGGUGAAACGGUGAGGUAAGAGCUCACCAGGGGAUAUAGCGAUAUAUCCCGCUGGUAAACCCACCCCGCAGCAAGGAGGGAUGGUAAAGCCUUGCAACAAUACCCUCCGCUAAAGCGGCACUGUAAAGUGCGCGCUUAGAUAAAUAGCCUCUUAAACAGAACCCGGCUUAUAGGUGUGCCUUUUCU
rnacentral:RNase_P_RNA from 1 species